rnacentral:rRNA from 1 species
AAUGGCCGAAAGGCUGAACCAGUAACUUGAAAGAAUGUACAAUGAAUAACUCAUCUAAAGUUCUAGGCAGAAAAGAAAUGAUGACUAUUUUUUGUCUAUAAGUAUUGACCAAAUUACGUGCCAGCCGUCGCGGUAAUACGUAAAAUACAAGUGUUAUUCAUCUUUAAUGGGUUUAAAGGGUACCUAGACAGAAAAUCAAGCUAUAAUAGGGACUAAUUUUCUAGAGUUUUAUAAGAGAAAAAAGAAUUGUUAGAGGAGAGAUGAAAUUCAUUGAUACUAACAAGACUGAUAACGGCGAAGGCAUUUUUCUAUGUAAAAACUGACGUUGAGGGACGAAGCCUAGGGUAACGAGAAGGAUUAGAUACCCUAAUAGUCCUAGGAGAAAAAUAUGAAUGCCAUAGGCUAGAAUUUAUUGGCCUAUAAAUGAAAGUGUAAGCAUUUCACCUUAUGAGUAAAGCGGCAACGCCGAAACUGAAAUCAUUAGACCGUUACUGAAAACAGUAGUGAAGUAUGUUAUUUAAUUCGAUGGUCCGCGAAUAACCUUACCACAAUUUGAAUAUUAUUAAAUUAUUACAAGUGCUGCACGGCUGUCUUCAGCUUAUAUCGUGAGAUUUUGGUUAGAUCCAUUAAUAAGCGAAAACCCUUACUUUAUUUAAUAAAGUAGUAGUAUUUUAGUUGAGAAUUUUAAAAUACUAUUUUUUAUAGAGUAGUUCGCCAAUAUAUUGGUAAGAUAAAAGGGAUUAAGACAAGUCAUCAUGGCCUUAAUAUUG